AGGCGGCGAUCCAAGUCAGAGACAAGAAAGGAGUUUCGUGUAUCUCAUCAUAAAGAGAAUGUUUACUUCGAGAGGGCUGAGCUAGAAAAUGAUGAUGUUCACUCACCAUGCAGUGAUUUAAGCAAAGGCAUUGAGGAAAAUCCCUACGAGUUUCUCUCAGAAUGACAACGAAUUUCCUCCGUGGACAAUCCAACAUACAUGAAUCUCCAACUCAAAUCGUCAUGAUUUCUUAAACGAUCAGCUUGUGGUUUAAUACAUUUUAAAUUAAGUGGAACCUAUUACUUCCUUUCAAACUUAUCAAAUCACUUCGCUGUUACCUGAUAACAAAAAGAAACUACUAAUAACAAUAUGAUGGAAAUUACACGGACAAGCCCAUUUGCCUGAACCUUAUCAAACAAUAUCUUUAAAUGCCAAAACUAAGGCAUUAAAUACAAUGGAUGAGAAACACCUAACGUACAAAUCAAUACAAACGUAUCACAUAAACACCAAUUAUUAUAUUGUUUAUGUAAUCAACCUGAGGUCAUAUUUACUUAACUACCGCAUUUUUACCCCGUGCGGACCAACUCAUUAUAUAAAAAAAUCCCGAAUGAGGUUAUGAUCAUGAUAGCCGUAUUUGAACAGAAGACACACCUCUAAACUUGUAUCCAUUCCCCUAGAUCUUUAUUGUAUAUUCACAUCCUUAAUAAGAUUAAUCCAACUUUGUUUAUUGCACGUCUUUUUCAGAGACGUUAAGGGUACUUAAUAAAUUAUUGCCAGAGACUAGUAUACCUAUAUUAACACACUUGGACAAGAUGUUAUUUUCACAUGAGACUUAAGAACCAUUUAACAUCCUGUACCCAAUUAUAUAUACAUGUAUCACAUGUGUGUGCAAUUUUUAAACUUAGAUGUGCAAUAAAAUGCUUUGAUUUUUA